ensembl:misc_RNA 7SK 7SK RNA
GGAUGUGAGGGUGAUCUGGCUGCGAUGCCUGUCACCCCAUUGAUCACCAGGGUUGAUUCGGCUGAUUUGGCUGUCUAGGUGGGUGUCCCCUUCCUCCCUCAGUGCUCCAUUUGUCCCUCCUGAAGCUGUGCUCUUGGUCAAAGAGGAUGACCACCCCCAACAGAGGAGGACCAUUUCCUUGGUCAAGGGUAUACAAGUACUUGCACUCCCCUGCUAGACCCUCCAAACAAGCUCUAAAGGUCCAUUUGAACAGAAUAACUUGGUAAAAAUUAUAUCUGUUUGGUUCUCAUU